rnacentral:rRNA from 1 species
CCUACGGGAGGCAGCAGUGGGGAAUUUUGGACAAUGGGCGCAAGCCUGAUCCAGCAAUGCCGCGUGAGUGAAGAAGGCCUUCGGGUUGUAAAGCUCUUUUGUCAGGGAAGAAACGGCCUGUUCUAAUACAGUGGGCUAAUGACGGUACCUGAAGAAUAAGCACCGGCUAACUACGUGCCAGCAGCCGCGGUAAUACGUAGGGUGCAAGCGUUAAUCGGAAUUACUGGGCGUAAAGCGUGCGCAGGCGGUUUUGUAAGUCUGUCGUGAAAUCCCCGGGCUCAACCUGGGAAUGGCGAUGGAGACUGCAAGGCUAGAGUUUGGCAGAGGGGGGUAGAAGUUCCACGUGUAGCAGUGAAAUGCGUAGAUAUGUGGAGGAACACCGAUGGCGAAGGCAGCCCCCUGGGUCAAAACUGACGCUCAUGCACGAAAGCGUGGGGAGCAAACAGGAUUAGAUACCCUGGUAGUCCACGCCCUAAACGAUGUCUACUAGUUGUCGGGUCUUAAUUGACUUGGUAACGCAGCUAACGCGUGAAGUAGACCGCCUGGGGAUACGGUCGCAAGNUUAAAACUCAAAGGAAUUGACCGGNUGAGAGNGCGAGACGACGACGAGGGAGGAGG